AUUAUAUUAGUUUAAUAAUAAAAUUUAAAAUUUUCAGUUUUAUAAUUUUAAA
rnacentral:tRNA from 1 species